rnacentral:rRNA from 1 species
AACGAACGCUGGCGGCAUGCUUAAUACAGGCAAGUCGAACGAGACCUUCGGGUCUAGUGGCGCACGGGUGAGUAACGCGUGGGAAUCUGCCCUUAGGUACGGAAUAACUCAGAGAAAUUUGUGCUAAUACCGUAGGAUGUCGAAAGACCAAAGAUUUAUCGCCUAAGGAUGAGCCCGGGUAAGAUUAGCCUGUUGGUGAGGUAAAAGCUCACCAAGGCGACGAUCUUUAGCUGGUCUGAGAGGAUGAUCAGCCACACUGGGACUGAGACACGGCCCAGACUCCUACGGGAGGCAGCAGUGGGGAAUAUUGGACAAUGGGCGAAAGCCUGAUCCAGCAAUGCCGCGUGAGUGAUGAAGGCCUUAGGGUUGUAAAGCUCUUUUACCAGGGAUGAUAAUGACAGUACCUGGAGAAUAAGCUCCGGCUAACUCCGUGCCAGCCGCCGCCGUAA